UCGUAGUUUGACUUCUGCUCCGGACCGGCGGUCCGCCUUAGCGGCGGCUACUGCCGGGUUCCGAGCUGUGUCCCCGCCGGCGCGCACGGGGUUUUUUAUGCCCUUAACCGGGUGUCCCCCUGUGGCCGGCACGUUUACUUUGAAAAAAUUAGAGUGCUCAGAGCAGGCUGGUCUUUGCUUACAGCCCGAAUGGUCGUGCAUGGAAUGAUGGAACAGGACCUCGGUUCUAUUUUGUCGGUUUUUCGGAACCCGAGGUAAUGAUUAAUAGAAGCAGACGGGGGCAUUCGUACUGCGACGCUAGAGGUGAAAUUCUUAGACCGUCGCAUGGCGACCUACUGCGAAAGCAUCUGCCAAGGAUGUUUUCAUUGAUCAAGAACGAGAAGUUAGAGUUUCGAAGGCGAUCAGAUACCGCCCCUAGUUCUAACCUUAAACGAUGCUGACUAGCGAUCCGCCGCAGUUAUUCCCAUGACCCGGCGGGUAGCUUCCGGGAAACCAGAGUCUUUGAGUUCGGGGGGAAGUAUGGUUGCAAAGCUGAAACUUAAAGGAAUUGACGGGAAGGGGCACCACCAGGAGUGGAGCCCUCUGAAACUUAAAGGAAUUGACGGAAGGGCACCACCAGGAGUGGAGCCUGCGGCGUCAAUUUGACCCAACACGGGGAAACUCACCAGGCCAGGACACCGGAAGGAUUGACAGAAUGAAGGCUCUUUCUCGAUUCGGUGGGUGGUGGUGCAUGGCCGUUCUUAGUUGGUGGAGUGAUCUGUCUGGUUAAUUCCGAUAACGAACGAGACUCUAGCCUGCUAAAUAGUCGACGGGUCUCUCGCCCAGCCUUCGCCCUCGGGCGUGGGCUCGGGUUCCCCUAAACCCGGCCGUCGCGCGGGCCUCCGCCGUCGGUUGGUUAGCGCCGCCGGCGGCGCGCCCCGCGGCGCCGGAAACUGGCGUCCGCUUCGCAGUCUUCUUCUUAGAGGGAUAAGCGGCAGCAAAAAAUAUACUAGCCGCACGAGAGUUUGAGCCAUAACAGGUCUGUGAUGCCCUUAGAUGUUCUGGGCAUCACGCGCGCGACAAUGGGGAGAGUUCAGCGAGCUGUCCCCGCUCCGAGAGGAGGGGUAACCUCGUGAAAGCUGUCCUUAAAGGGGAUUGGGGCUUGCAAAUGUUCCCCAUGAACGAGGAAUUCCCAGUAGGCGCAAUUCACCAGAUUGCGCCGAUUUAGUCCCUGCCCUUUGUACACACCGCCCGUCGCUACUACCGAUUGAAUGGUCUAGUGAGGGCACCGGACUGGCGCCCUUGGAGCCGCUACCGCCGCCUCGGCGGCGGCCAGCGCCCUCGGGUCGACGGAAAGGUGUCCAAGCUGGGUCAUUUAGA
rnacentral:rRNA from 1 species